GAUGAACGCUGGCGGCGUGCCUAAUACAUGCAAGUCGAGCGAAUGGAUUAAGAGCUUGCUCUUAUGAAGUUAGCGGCGGACGGGUGAGUAACACGUGGGUAACCUGCCCAUAAGACUGGGAUAACUCCGGGAAACCGGGGCUAAUACCGGAUAACAUUUUGAACCGCAUGGUUCGAAAUUGAAUGGCGGCUUCGGCUGUCACUUCUGGAUGGACCCGCGUCGCAUUAGCUAGUUGGUGAGGUAACGGCUCACCAAGGCAACGAUGCGUAGCCGACCUGAGAGGGUGAACGGCCACACUGGGACUGAGACACGGCCCAGACUCCUACGGGAGGCAGCAGUAGGGAAUCCUCCGCAAUGGACGAAAGUCUGACGGAGCAACGCCGCGUGAGUGAUGAAGGCUUUCGGGUCGUAAAACUCUGUUGUUAGGGAAGAACAAGUGCUAGUUGAAUAAGCUGGCACCUUGACGGUACCUAACCAGAAAGCCACGGCUAACUACGUGCCAGCCGCCGCGGUAA
rnacentral:rRNA from 1 species